GCGCGAACACUCUCCAAUGUGCGAAAGCGUGAGAGGGGAAUUCCUAGUGCUUAUGGUUCAUCCAUAGGCUUUUGCCAAGUGUAAAUAGCUUGGCGAAUAAGUGGUGGGCCAGACUGGUGCCAGCCGCCGCGGUAACACCAGCGCCACGAGUGGCCAUCGCGAUUAUUGGGCUUAAAGCGUCCGUAGUCUGUUCUAUGCAUCUUCUGUGAAAUCGCUGCGCUUAACGUAGCGGCAUGCGGAAGACACGGUA
rnacentral:rRNA from 1 species